rnacentral:lncRNA from 1 species
GGCUCCUAAGCAACCUUGGCUUGUCUGCCAUGUCCACCAUAUUGCUGUCAUGAGUUCUUGACCCGGGAACUCUGACUCCCUUGAGAUAGAAAAUCUGUUCCCUUGUUGAUUGGGAUGCAGGUCCAUUGGUUCAAUGACAUCAGUGCCAAGAUCUCAGUGGCCUUCUUGGCCUUUCUUCAUGACCAGAGGAUGCUGCUCUAACUUCACCCAUCUCAACCAAGCACAGUGCUUGAAAUCGCCCAACCUCCUGUCGCUUUGUUGAAGAAGUCUCCCCAGAUUCUCCAAUCAGACGUCCACAGGGAGAGACCAAGGCCGGGCUCAUCUCUCUCCUGAGCAUCCAGUGUCUUUUCCAAGCGCUCUUGCCAUCCUCUUCCUUGGGUCAAGCCCCCUACUGGACUCUCAGCUCUCAGAGAGUGGGGACCAAGUCUAGCUCAGCUCGGCGUCUUCUUGGCACCUAGCCCAUGGCCUGGCCCAUUGCGGGCCCUUGGCACUAUUUCCUGCUGGUCGAGUGGAUUAUUUCUGGACUAUUUCAGCUAAGCAAGCAGGCAAUUUCUUCAUAUACUCUCUAAAGCUCUUUAAACAGGAGCCUCUUGUUGGAGCUCCUGAAAGGAAUCCACAGACCCAGAGGGAUUCUGGAUACUUUCUCUCUCCUAGUGUUGUGAGGUAAAUUGGUCUUCUAGAAGAAACUAUGAAGAAUAUUGUAACUAUUCUGAAGUGAUUUUUUAAUUACAUUUUUACUGGCUUACGUCAAAUCCAUUGUGAUAAAAUGUAAAAUCCGCUGACCCGCCUCCUUCAGCUAUGUCAAAAAGAACAGUGGCGUCAGCAGUUUCACAAGUGUGAGAACAUCCACACAUCUGUGGAUUUUCUUUUUGCAAUAUUAAUUUGGUAACUUGAAAAGUG